rnacentral:rRNA from 1 species
GAUGAACGCUGGCGGCGUGCCUAAUACAUGCAAGUCGAGCGAACGGACGAGAAGCUUGCUUCUCUGAUGUUAGCGGCGGACGGGUGAGUAACACGUGGAUAACCUACCUAUAAGACUGGGAUAACUUCGGGAAACCGGAGCUAAUACCGGAUAAUAUUUUGAACCGCAUGGUUCAAAAGUGAAAGACGGUCUUGCUGUCACUUAUAGAUGGAUCCGCGCUGCAUUAGCUAGUUGGUAAGGUAACGGCUUACCAAGGCAACGAUGCAUAGCCGACCUGAGAGGGUGAUCGGCCACACUGGAACUGAGACACGGUCCAGACUCCUACGGGAGGCAGCAGUAGGGAAUCUUCCGCAAUGGGCGAAAGCCUGACGGAGCAACGCCGCGUGAGUGAUGAAGGUCUUCGGGUCGUAAAACUCUGUUAUUAGGGAAGAACAUAUGUGUAAGUAACUGUGCACAUCUUGACGGUACCUAAUCAGAAAGCCACGGCUAACUACGUGCCAGCAGCCGCGGUAAUACGUAGGUGGCAAGCGUUAUCCGGAAUUAUUGGGCGUAAAGCGCGCGUAGGCGGUUUUUUAAGUCUGAUGUGAAAGCCCACGGCUCAACCGUGGAGGGUCAUUGGAAACUGGAAAACUUGAGUGCAGAAGAGGAAAGUGGAAUUCCAUGUGUAGCGGUGAAAUGCGCAGAGAUAUGGAGGAACACCAGUGGCGAAGGCGACUUUCUGGUCUGUAACUGACGCUGAUGUGCGAAAGCGUGGGGAUCAAACAGGAUUAGAUACCCUGGUAGUCCACGCCGUAAACGAUGAGUGCUAAGUGUUAGGGGGUUUCCGCCCCUUAGUGCUGCAGCUAACGCAUUAAGCACUCCGCCUGGGGAGUACGACCGCAAGGUUGAAACUCAAAGGAAUUGACGGGGACCCGCACAAGCGGUGGAGCAUGUGGUUUAAUUCGAAGCAACGCGAAGAACCUUACCAAAUCUUGACAUCCUUUGACAACUCUAGAGAUAGAGCUUUCCCCUUCGGGGGACAAAGUGACAGGUGGUGCAUGGUUGUCGUCAGCUCGUGUCGUGAGAUGUUGGGUUAAGUCCCGCAACGAGCGCAACCCUUAAGCUUAGUUGCCAUCAUUAAGUUGGGCACUCUAAGUUGACUGCCGGUGACAAACCGGAGGAAGGUGGGGAUGACGUCAAAUCAUCAUGCCCCUUAUGAUUUGGGCUACACACGUGCUACAAUGGACAAUACAAAGGGCAGCGAAACCGCGAGGUCAAGCAAAUCCCAUAAAGUUGUUCUCAGUUCGGAUUGUAGUCUGCAACUCGACUACAUGAAGCUGGAAUCGCUAGUAAUCGUAGAUCAGCAUGCUACGGUGAAUACGUUCCCGGGUCU